rnacentral:pre_miRNA from 2 species
UUCUCUGGAUGAACAAAGAAAGUAGCUUCUUGACAUGGAACCUACUUCUGGUGAAGGUGCUGGGAA